UCAUGCCUACAACAUAACAUUAAUGCACUGGAUCUCAUUAGAACUCUACAGUUAAGCGCGAUCAGGAUAAAGUAGUACUAGUAUGAGUGACCACCUAGGAAGUCCUAGUGUUUUACAUUCC
rnacentral:rRNA from 1 species